AGGAUGAACGCUGGCGGCGUGCUUAACACAUGCAAGUCGAACGAUGAAGGCUGGAGCUUGCUCUGGCUGGAUUAGUGGCGAACGGGUGAGUAACACGUGAGUAACCUGCCCCAGACUCUGGGAUAAGCGCUGGAAACGGCGUCUAAUACCGGAUACGAGCUUCCACCGCAUGGUGAGGAGCUGGAAAGAAUUUCGGUCUGGGAUGGACUCGCGGCCUAUCAGCUUGUUGGUGAGGUAAUGGCUCACCAAGGCGACGACGGGUAGCCGGCCUGAGAGGGUGACCGGCCACACUGGGACUGAGACACGGCCCAGACUCCUACGGGAGGCAGCAGUGGGAAUAUUGCACAAGUGGGCGCAAGCCUGAUGCAGGCAACGCCGCGUAGAGGACGAAGGCCUUCGGUUGUAAACCUCUUUUAGUAGGAAGAAGCGAAAGUGACGGUACUGCAAGAAAAGCAACCGGCUAACUACGUGACCAGAC
rnacentral:rRNA from 1 species